GUGUGGAUGGCUCUGAUCUGACACAUAAUCUCGUUCCAAGUGCUGUUCCGGUGAAGACGAUGACGUGCUUCUUCGCUGGUGCGCUGUCGCGUUUUGUUGAUGCAGAUCUAUUGGGGAACUACUCAGGUCUGGGUCCUCAUCGGCACAUUCUUCCUUGAUCCAGGCCUGCUGCGACGGGGGAGUGUCGUGGUUGUCCAUCUCUUCAAACGUUCUCGGGAAGGAGAUCGUGAAGGCACACAGAAGGGACAGACACCACAGCGGACGAACUGAACGCGACUGAAAACCGGACAAGUGACAAUCCUGCGGAAGAAGGUUCAUGUGUGUGUGUUGCCGUGAUUCACGCUCAAGUGACUGGCCUGCCGUCUGGUGUUCCCCCCUUUCCCGAAGAGUUGUUUUUGAGGCCCGGGCAAAAGGGUAAAAGGGAAACUGGAACGGUUCAUGAGUCAGACGUUCUCAAGGUCUGCCCACAAGAUGCAGCAUUGCCGAAGGCUACAGCGGCUACAGCUGCACUCGGGCAGGGGGUUUAGAGAGUGUGUGUCCUUUACGCAAACAUCAACUGUCUUGUACGAUAAGAUUUCGCGACUCCUUUCUUACUGUGUUUUCUUUUUUAAAUUCUGCUUUUGAGAUACGGGAUGUAGGCUGUCUGCUGCAGAUGAGGUGGACAUCAGAUGGGCAUAUAUUGAACGGUACCCCCAAGUACGAAUUAAAGUGCCACUGCGAAUUUUUAAUUAAAAAAUGCAAUUUA